rnacentral:sRNA from 1 species
AUAUAGAAGAAAUUUGCACAGACUGCCAGCUUCAUUAUGCUGCCGACAGCUUCCAGCAAAAGGAGGACGUUUGCAGCCAGAUAUUUCACCCGCUCCAAAAGCCUAGUGAUGGGGGAGCAGAGCCAGAGCCCUGGGCGGACGCCGUGCCCUCACAGGCUGGGCCCCGUGCUGAAGGCGGGCUGGCUGAAGAAGCAGAGGAGCAUCAUGAAGAACUGGCAGCAGCGCUGGUUUGUGCUGCGUGGGGAUCAGCUUUUCUACUACAAGGACAAAGAUGAGAUCAAGCCCCAGGUGAGAAGCGCAUGUCCGGUGUGCCGUGGGCAUCAUGGCAGGUCUCCACAAGAGGGAAGACCAUGCCCAGGAGAAGGGAGGAAGGCACAGAGCCACUGACUCCAUCACAGUGAUGUUUUGCCAGGAUUUCCAAAGUAAUUUUCAUUCUUAUCCCCCAUGUUCCUGGUAUCACAGCCUGUUUUACUGGAACAUGUCCACAACUUCUGCAAUGAAAAUGUUUCCUUAAAAUGUU